UACGGGGGGGGCAAGCGUUUGUUCGGAAUUACUGGGCGUAAAGGGCUCGUAGGCGGCCAACUAAGUCAUACGUGAAAUCCCUCGGCUUAACCUGGGAACUGCGUCGGAUACUGGAUGGCUUGAAUUCGGGAGAGGGAUGCAGAAUUCCAGGUGUAGCGGUGAAAUGCGUAGAUAUCUGGAGGAAUACCGGUGGCGAAGGCGGCAUCCUGGACCGACAUUGACGCUGAACGGCGAAAGCUAGGGGAGCAAACGGG
rnacentral:rRNA from 1 species